GCUGACGUGUGAGAUACUAGUAGUAGUAUGUACGAGUAGCAACCAUGAAGCGAUAAUGAGUAGACGACGGCGGCGAGGCCGUGGCCUGAAUCGCCGGACGUACAGACAAAAUACUACAAAAUCCGGUAACUUUCUCGGUGGGCAGCGUCGCAAGUCGCCGAGCCGCAGGAUUCAUGCUCCGCUGCUUUCGGCGACGAUGUUCUUCGCUCGAUGACUAACGAUUUUCAUUCAUGGGCGCCAAGCCAAUCUCGAUCGGUCGAAUGGGUUGGUGACGAGGUUUAUCAUUUGUUGGACGACGGACGAAACUAGUCGUCGGUCUUUCCAGGAUUCACUCAACGAGACGGUCAGGAAAUUAGGGUAGUGGAGUAUAAAGCCAGCCCGCAGAUACGGAUGUGGGAGGCGGCUGUCCAACGCCAUCCGCAUAUUUAAAAAAANACGGGAUGAAUUCCGUGUAAAGGCAACGGAUUUCAUACGAAUUGGACGAGCAGAUUUAUAUUUUGGACAUAUAUUAGUCUGCUUGUAAUGGAUAGUAUCAUAUACUAGUAUCACCACAUCCGUAAUGCAUAGUAUCAUAUGUUAGUAUCAUAGGGUAGCUCAUUUAUUGUAAUGUAAGACACAUAGUAGCACAUCAUUU
rnacentral:lncRNA from 1 species